rnacentral:misc_RNA from 1 species
GAUGAAGAACGCAGCGAAAUGCGAUAAGUAAUGCGAAUUGCAGAAUCCGUGAGUCAUCGAGUCUUUGAACGCACAUUGCGCCCCCUGGUAUUCCGGGGGGCAUGCCUGUCCGAGCGUCAUUGCUGCCCUCAAGCACGGCUUGUGUGUUGGGCUCCGUCCCCCCGGGGACGGGCCCGAAAGGCAGCGGCGGCACCGAGUCCGGUCCUCGAGCGUAUGGGGCUUUGUCACCCGCUCUGUAGGCCCGGCCGGCGCCAGCCGACAACCCAUCAUCCUUUUCAGGUUGACCUCGGAUCAGGUAGGGAUACCCGCUGAACUUAAGCAUAUAAUAAGCGGAGGA